rnacentral:rRNA from 1 species
UCCAGACUCCUACGGGAGGCAGCAGUGGGGGAUAUUGCACAAUGGGGGGAACCCUGAUGCAGCGACGCCGCGUGGGUGAAGGAGCGUUUCGGCGCGUAAAGCCCUAUCGGCAGGGAAGAAGGAGGACGGUACCUGACUAAGAAGCCCCGGCUAACUACGUGCCAGCAGCCGCGGUAAUACGUAGGGGGCAAGCGUUAUCCGGAUUUACUGGGUGUAAAGGGGGCGCAGACGGCAGCGCAAGCCAGGAGUGAAAGCCCGGGGCCCAACCCCGGGACUGCUCUUGGAACUGCGCGGCUGGAGUGCAGGAGGGGCAGGCGGAAUUCCUGGUGUAGCGGUGAAAUGCGUAGAUAUCAGGAGGAACACCGGUGGCGAAGGCGGCCUGCUGGACUGCGACUGACGUUGAGGCCCGAAAGCGUGGGGAGCAAACAGGAUUAGAUACCCUCGUAUAC